GCCCAGCCUCUCCCCUGGACAGUCUCAUGAUCUCCCCUCAUUCCAGCUUGAUCUCCUGUCCCCAAAUUUUAAAAACAGGCACUCUGGGGUGUCGACCUGACUCUGCAGACACACCACAUGGGCCACCAGAUUACAGUCAGCAAGGGAAGGUGUUCCCGUGUUCUAGCUGGAUGAGCAGCGGGUGCUAAGACAGGGAUGCCUGGAGUUGGUCCCUGGAAGGCCUGAAGCGGCGGUGCCCUCCUGGUGGUGAGGGGACACUUGGGCUGGCGCGCCUGCUGUCCGCUCUGCGCUCCGAAGCUUGCCUCUCACGGAAUCACCCUGCCGGCGAGUCUUAGCGCUUCCCCACGACCACAGAGCUCCUCCAUCGCGUGAAAGGCUCGCUCUGCCCGCCUCCACCCUCUCAGCCCCCAGGUGCAGCCCUCAAUGCAACAGGGGCCGAAUGUGUUUCGUGGACUCGGCAGGUCCUGGUGGCUCAGGACGGCGCAAAAGAAGUGUCUCCAAGCAAAAUUGACCCAGUUUUCAAGGGAAGACAAGUCAACCCUGGAAACCUCCAAACAGAUGAAAACAGAAUUUGGUUCAGCAUUGAAGGACCUUACUAAGAAGUGCUCUGACAAGCUGGAAUGUUGUGGAAAUGAAGUGGAGAAGAUAACUGAAGAAAUAUGAUGCAAAACAAUUGAGCUUGGCACAGGAAAUGAAAAUGGUAAGACAGCAGGAGUGGCUA